AUCUCUCUAGUAUUAACAAGUACAGUCGACUUCCAAUCAACCAGUUCUGGUAAAAAUCCAGAGGGAGAUACA
rnacentral:tRNA from 1 species